GUGUCGUUGGCUCGAUUGACUAGGCGGAUACCUGCAAAGUAUCUUUAGGCAGGUUUGAAUCCUGCACGACACUCCA
rnacentral:tRNA from 1 species